rnacentral:lncRNA from 1 species
CUUUAAGUAAUUCCAGCCAGCGUCGUUGCCUCAUAUUCAAUUCUUUCUGACUAAAGAGAUAUUGGAGACUCUUAUGAUCAGUGAAAAGUUUGCACUUUGUGCCAUAGAGGUAAUGCCUCCAUAUUUUCAGUGCGAAAACUACCGCUGCCAACUCCAAAUCAUGAGUCGGGUNACCGGGGUGGUAAAGUAUCUCACUGUCGUAGUCUUUAAGUAACUCUAGCCAGCAUCGUUGUCUCAUAUUCAAUUCCUUUUUGACUAAAGAGAUAUUGGAGACUCUUAUGAUCAAUGAAAAGUUUGCACUUCGUGCCAUAGAGGUAAUGCCACCAUAUUUGCAGAGCAAAAGCUACCGCUACCAACUCCAAAUCAUGAGUCGGGUAGUUCUUUUCAUGCNAAUGUUGUGCCUUGACUCUUGCAUAAGUCACACACUCGGCCACAUACUUCGCAAUGUCGAGCUUCAUCGUCGGCCACCAAUAAUAGGGUUUCAGGUCCCUAUACAUCUUUGUGCUACCGGGAUGAAUCGAGUACAUGGUUUUGUGAGCUUCUUCCAUCAGAAGAUCUCUGACUCCUCCUGUCUUAGGUAUCCAAAUCCGAUCUUGGAACACCUUCAGUCCGUGACUGUUUACACCGAACACCAACGUUUUGCCCAAACGUUCCUCCUUUCGGUCAUUUUUCUCAGAAGCUUCGCUUUGAGCUUUCUUUAUACUUUCCAAAAUAGUCGAGACAACUUCAAUUCUCAACGCUCUUGGCCUUUUCUUUUCAAGAUUGACCUUCCGACUGAGAGCAUCAGCAACAAUAUUGGCCUUACCGGGGUGGUAAAGUAUCUCACAGUCGUAGUCCUUAAGUAAUUCCAGCCAGCGUCGUUGCCUCAUAUUCAAUUCUUUCUGACUAAAGAGAUAUUGGAGACUCUUAUGAUCAGUGAAAAGUUUGCACUUCGUGCCAUAGAGGUAAUGCCUCCAUAUUUUCAGUGCGAAAACUACCGCUGCCAACUCCAAAUCAUGAGUCGGGUAGUUCUUUUCGUGCUCUUUCAGCUGUCGAGACGCAUAUGCGAUCACCUUAUCCCUUUGGGUCAAAACGCAACCCAAUCCAACCCCAGACGCAUCGCUAUAAACAGCGAAGUCUUCAACCCCAUCGGGUAGAGAAAGUAUCGGUGCCUCGCAUAGUUUCUUCUUUAGUCUCUCGAAUGCUUCUUUAUGCUUAUCACUCCAAGCAUAAGUAGCUCCUUUGUGGGUCAAAGCUGUUAAUGGACUAGCGAUCGAAGAAAAGCCUUGGAUAAACCUUCGGUAAUAUCCGGCUAAUCCUAAAAAGCUUCGGAUCUCCGUGGGACUUUUCGGUUGUUCCCACUUCAUCACAGCUUCGAUCUUCGCUGGAUCAACCAUUAUCCCUUCUUGGUUGACCACGUGACCCAAAAAUUGGACUUCACGAAUCCAG